UAAUACGAAGGGGGCUAGCGUUGUUCGGAAUCACUGGGCGUAAAGAGUACGUAGGCGGAUUGUUAAGUCAGGGGUGAAAUCCCGAGGCUCAACCUCGGAACUGCCUUUGAUACUGGCAAUCUUGAGUCCGGGAGAGGUGAGUGGAACUCCUAGUGUAGAGGUGAAAUUCGUAGAUAUUAGGAAGAACACCAGUGGCGAAGGCGGCUCACUGGCCCGGAACUGACGCUGAGGUACGAAAGCGUGGGGAGCAAACAGG
rnacentral:rRNA from 1 species